AGAGGCCCUGUGGACAGGGACGCACGCUGGGUUCAGUGAGCACUGGUUCCUUGAGCAGAACACCCAUCUCUACCUAAGAGCGUUCCUCCUGGAAGGCGAUGAAUUUCCAACGGCAGUCUCUUCAGACUCAUCUCAGGGGACCGCGCAGGUGGUGAUCAGAGGCCGUAGAGACCCCGGAAGAAUUUUAUGGCAUUCCAGACAGGACACAGACCAGCUUGGAGGAGAAGCAGCAAUAAGACUUGGCAACACAGCGAGGGCGUGGAAGUUAUUUCCGAGGAGAGACAAUGGGCCUCAGCAGCAGCCGGGCGAGCUGCAGCCCACCAGAGCCCGACAAGCCUGGGAAGGAAGAGCCGCUCGCUCCCAGGGACGCCUGCAAGGUAGGUAUGCAGGGUCUGCGUGGGCCUGCCUCGGCCACUCGGGGACACCUGGCUUCAGGGAGAA